CAUGAAAUCGAGGAGUUCGUUGGCCGGCAGUCUCUACAAACCGAAACAACAACAACAAUAGUAAUGACCCAAAACACCGCACCAGGAAGGGUAGACAGAAACGCAUCGUCCUUAUCGUCCACCCAAAGCCACCAAGCCCGGCGGCUCCACAAACACACGCGCCCGCCGCUUUGAUACACUUUUGACCCCGGGGAGGUGGGUUGUGGGUUGACUUGCGCGGGCUUUAGCCAUGUGCGCGCAAAAAGGUGGUGCGUGUUUGCGGGGUGAGAAUGGCUGAUUUUCGAACCAUUUUCGAGGAAUUUAGGAAGCGUAUUCCGUGAUUUUGAUACACACUCGGGAGUGUGUGUAGAGGUGUGUGUGUGUGUGCUUGGGACACCAACACACAAAAUGCACCGCGUUGCACAGCGCAUCAAACUGUAGAAAUUGCGUCGCGGGUGCAAAUUUGCCACGUUUUCGGUCAAAAUUUGUUGCUCCGGCCGGCUUCGGUGGUGGGGGAUCGGGGCUGCAAGCACGGAAGCAAGAGGAAAUGCUGGAAUGGAGACGCAUGCAGUUUUUGCCGCUGCUGCUGCUGCUGCUGCUGUUGAUACUGCUUGCUUUGCUUUCCGCACUGCUCGCACUCGCUCUCUCCGCCUCGUUUCGUUCGGCUCGAUCGUUCCCUCUCGCUUCUCUCGCUGCGCUGGUUGUAAAAUUGCGCAAGGCAGAUUCUUUUUCUUUUCCCUUCCCUCACUGUUCGCAAUUUGGUACUGCUACACCGAACCAAGGGAACGGUUGCGCGUGUGUUGGUAGGCACUCCUCCCCCACCAGCGGGAAAAUCGCGUCGCAAAUAGCGAAACGCCGGCCGGAACGACUGGAAGGGAUGAAGCGAGGACCGUGUACGUACAAGAGCGCCCGGUAGUGGGGAUGAACGUUUUACACUUGCCCAUUAUACACACACACACACACUUACUUACACCCCAACGCAACAAUCCCCACCCCAUACUGUAUUUGCGUUGCUUCACAAACAGCCGAGGUGGGAAAUAACGUAUGUGUGUGUGUGAGAGAGAGAGAGCGAAACGGCAACAACAUCUGUCAUCUCACGUCAUCUUGCGCCCCACACACGGAACGACGCAUGCGCCUGCAGUGCAAUUGGAAGUGCAAUUGCCCAUCGCACACCCCUCAUUUGUGUACACGCACCACCACCACCAUCACCGCCACAACCGAUCUGUGUGUGUGUGUGUGUGUGUGUAUUUGUGCGCAAUUGACGAGGGUGAGGCCGUGUGUGAGUGAGCGAGCGAGAAAGUGCUAUAGUGCUAAGAGCACCCACAAACGAGAGCGAGAGAGCGCGCGCGCCCGCGAGUGAAUUGAGGGUGAGCUCGCGCUACGUGAAGGUGUGUGCGUGCGUGCGAUGGGUUGCCGUGGGUGACCGAGCGAGAGGGCGUGCGGUGUAGUGCCGUCUCAGCCGCGCGGCCGACUGCGUGGACACGUUCCUUGGGCACAGUUUAAGGGAAGAAAUUUUAUUUUAUUUCAAACGUUCGUGCCGUACAGUCGCGCCGUGGUCGUCUGCUGCCGUGCCCCGUUCGCUGUGUCCCGUUGUGUGUGCGCGCGCUGACACCAAGUCCCCGGUCCUGUGGCCAAGGAAGGUACACGCACGUACCAACACACACAUACACGGACACACGGACACACAAGGUUACACGUAAUGAUUUUUUAUCGAAACCAGUAGGAAAAAGGGCUUGCACGAAAAAGCGAGUUGGAAAAUCUAAGCUCACAGCGAAAAAGAAAAAGGCAGCAGCAGUGCAGUAUCGCGUGUUUGUUGCGUGUUUUCGGUGCGUUUUUGUUGCGCUUCUCGGGUGUGCGUCGCGAAAAUUAAAAAAAAAAAAAAUAACCAGAUUGCGUGCGGUGUACGACACUUUCCAGUUGGCUUUCCGCUGGCGGGUCGGAACGGAAAACGGAAUCGAACGCGUCGGCGGAAAUUCGCGAGCGGAGGUUUUGCGGAGAAAAAUUCGGUGCAAUGGUGUAAAGUUUUUCUUUCGAAUUUUUAUUCCACAAAGAACGCUGUGCCGGGCACGAAAUUGAGGGAAGAUUUUUACUCAGCAACUGUGAACCAACAAGUCUGAUGAGAAAACGCAGCGUUUGAUGGGAAAAAUGUUUUUGGGUUUUUCAUAUUAGUUUCUCGAUAUCCCUAAACCGGCCAUCUUCAACCCGAACACACACUGGAGCCAAUCGGAAAAAUCGGCAAAGUCGCGAGUGAUUUUUUUUAGUUAGUUUCAUAAAAAAUUGUGACGAUUUCUGAAGCUAAUCAGUGAAAAGUGGUGAAGCAUUUUUAAAAUUCAGACACCAACGAAGAGAAUACAAGACUGCAAUAAUUUUGUAAAACGUUCGUUAUCAUCCUUUGUCCCAUGCUAAAUUAAUGCCAAAAAAGACUCAACAAAAGGAAAUUAUGGCCUUUUUAAGUUAAAAAAAAACCCAAAAAAUCAUGUGGAAGAACUGACUGACUGCAAGGGUUGAGUGUUGAGCCUAAAAGCCCUUUACGAAAAAGUGAAUCUAAUGUGCUUAAACGAAUGAAAUGAUGACGCCUUUGAAGCCCGCGGGAUUGUCAUUUGCCACCAUGCCACCAACCAUGCUCGGAACCCCGCUCCACACCCCACCAAGGGAUCUCAGUUCCUCACCACCCAAAUCGGAACCAUCUGCUGCGGCACGGUGUCUCGGUGAUCAUUUAACUCCUGCCGCGGGGCUUUCGGGUCGGUUAAGACGGACCAGGUAAACUCCAACUUUACAAAGACCACCACAGAAAAAAACCGAUCAUUUGAGGCUUGAGGCAACUCUCCCGCUUGUUUUUUGUUGUUGUGUGGCAUGGCACACCACAAACCGAAACAUAUGUAUCGAAUGUCGUCCGCGCCAUCGACGGCACCACCACCGGAGGCGGUGGAAGCUGAAACACGAAAAACAACAACCUUCCUUCCUCGCCGGGGAGCUGCCCGGGACUGACCUAUAAUUAUGAGUACCAGCCGGCAGGCAUUCCAAGGCCUUCCUGAAAGCCUUUCUGGAGGAGGAGGAGGAGGAGGAGGAGGAGGUGGGGCGGUAUCGGCUUUCAGUUGUGCGGUCAAAUGGUCACUGAGGCUUCGGCUUCUUAUCGACACGUCCACGAAAACAUACCAAAAUCCUCUCCAGCCAAAGGCGUGGAGAAGCUUUCGCUGGCCAAAACCGGUGCCCAUGUUGGAGUUGGACCAGCAGC